rnacentral:snRNA from 1 species
GUGUUUGCUUCGGCAGCACAUAUACUAAAAUUGGAAUGAUACAGAGAUUAGCCCCUGAUACAGAUGAUACAGAAUGAUACAGAGAUGGCCCCUGCACAAGGAUGACAUACAAAUUCGUGAAGCGUUCCAUAUCUAA